GAUCAGAUUGGUUCCUGAAACAGGUCUCUACAAAUAGCAACAUAAACUAUUGGUUCUAUUCAAGAAAUCCCAUUAAGACAGGUCAUUACAAGAAAACCCGAAAAAUAAUGCAUAAUAAUCAUACUUGAAAGAGAAACCAUUAAUCCUAGAUCAAUAUGUCAUAACAACCAAUCAUUUCCAAAUGAUCAAUAUGUGAGCUUAUAAUCUUUGAUCCCCAAGAGAUAUCUUAUCAAUUAGUUGGUCGACUUUCAGAGAUCCAUGCC
rnacentral:lncRNA from 1 species